GCAAGUCGAGGGGCAGCAUCAUUAAAGCUUGCUUUGAUGGAUGGCGACCGGCGCACGGGUGAGUAACACGUAUCCAACCUGCCGACAACACUGGGAUAGCCUUUCGAAAGAAAGAUUAAUACCGGAUGGCAUAGUCUUCCCGCAUGGGAUGACUAUUAAAGAAUUUCGGUUGUCGAUGGGGAUGCGUUCCAUUAGGCAGUUGGCGGGGUAACGGCCCACCAAACCAACGAUGGAUAGGGGUUCUGAGAGGAAGGUCCCCCACAUUGGAACUGAGACACGGUCCAAACUCCUACGGGAGGCAGCAGUGAGGAAUAUUGGUCAAUGGACGAGAGUCUGAACCAGCCAAGUAGCGUGAAGGAUGACUGCCCUAUGGGUUGUAAACUUCUUUUAUACGGGAAUAAAGUGAGCCACGUGUGGCUUUUUGUAUGUACCGUAUGAA
rnacentral:rRNA from 1 species